GAAUGUCAGGAAGACUGAUGCCAAACAUCCUCACACUUUAGACAUCACCUGAAGCCUCCAAAUGUGUACCCAAGUGACACAAAGUUCUGGGUGACAUCUGGUAGACGAUGCACUACUCUUCUUGACUUCUCAAUCAAACGGACCCUAAGAAUAUCACAGAGUAAAGGAAUUUAAGAGCUGGGAAAGAUCACAGAGUGGCUUCAGAUGUUUCUGGCCUCCAGCUUUAAGAAAGAAGAUGAAUAAUAUCAACCCCACUUUGGGGUGCUGAAAGGAGAAAAGACUAAGGAUGAAGCCAACACAGGAGGAAUUGGAAGUCUCCAUUGUAUCCCUAUCUGCAAUUUGCUACAUUUGAGACUUUGGGGAAUUUCAGCAGUUACCUUAUUCCCAAUGGAAGUGUUCUUUCAUUCUAUAUUGCCUGGUAUAUAUUCUCCUAUGUAUAUAUUUUUUUUAAUUUCUUUUUGGUUUCUGUUUAGACUUGGAUAAAUGGAUCUCUUUGCUACUUGCUAUGUGAAUUCAUUGUGGAACUGAUACUUGGAAGCAAAUAAAGUCUCUCUUGGAGAAGCUGGGGAGAAGAAGUUGGGGAUGUCUAUUCUUCCAUCUUUUGAGUCAUACAAUAACAUCCCCAUGCUAGAUUUUGGGAACUGCCUCAAAUAUAUACAUCUUUAUUAAACUGAAUGAAGAACAUUUUCCUUAUGUUGAGCUGAAAUCUGCCUCUCAAUCCUUCAACUAUCAUCUCAAGCUUACAUCCUUAUUUCUUCAUAUUAAACAUGAAUAAUUCCUUUACCAUUGUUCAUAUGCAUAAUUUCCUAAUCCCUAACCAUUCUAGUCAUGGUUCUUUGGAAACAUUGCAACUUGUCAUUAUCCAUCUUAAAAAGUAAUACUAAAAUUAUUCUGACUGUAGGUUGGCCAGGAAAUAGUAACAGUGAGAUUGUCACCUCCUUGGUUCUGGACACUAGACUUCCACUAGUAUAGGAUUUUCCAGAAACUUUGUUACAGCUAUGUGACUCUGUGAAAGUUACUAUUUGUCUCAGUUUCCUCAUCUGUAAAAUGGAGAUGCUAAUAUCACUCAUUUCUCAAGUUGUGGUGAAGAUUGAUUGUUAUAAUUGUAAAGCACUUAGCACAGUGCCUGGAAUAUAUUAAGUGUUGGCUAUUAUUUUUAUUAUUAAUUAUAAUAAUCAUAAAGCACAAGAACUUUUUAAAAAUUAAUGACUUCAAUAAGUGAAUAGGCAGCAUAGUUAUAAAUAAGGCAGAGCUGGGAGAGAGAACUUGAAAAAGUUAACUUCUUGAUGGAUUUAAAAAUGGGCCAAAUCUAAUUAGAUGAAAAUGAAAAAGUAUGAACUCUUAAUCUUGGAACAAAAUAUAACAAAUCAACUUUACCAAUAAUAGCUAUAGGAGACAUGAUUGUGGAUCUAGAUGUCUUAGUGGAUUACAAACUCAAAAUAAGUCAGCAAUGUAAUCAUGGCAGCCAAGAAAGCUAAUGUGAUCUUAGGCAGCAUUGAAAGACAUUAUUAAAAGAGAAUAGUCAGAGCACAUUUGCAGAAUUGUUUUCACCUCUGAAUCACACAUUUUAGAAAUGAUACCAAUGGA